rnacentral:sRNA from 1 species
CCCAGUGCUUACGCACUGGGCUUUAUUCUGCCGCCCACUUUCGUGGGCU